CACGUAGGGCGCAAGCGUUGUCCGGAAUUAUUGGGCGUAAAGAGCUCGUAGGUGGUUUGUUACGUCUGCUGUGAAAACCUAGGGCUUAACCCUGGGCUUGCAGUGGAUACGGGCAGACUAGAGGUAGGUAGGGGAGAAUGGAUUCCUGGUGUAGCGGUGAAAUGCGCAGAUAUCAGGAGGAACACCGGUGGCGAAGGCGGGUCUCUGGGCCGAUACUGACGCUGAGGAGCGAAAGCGUGGGGAGCGAACAGG
rnacentral:rRNA from 1 species